rnacentral:rRNA from 1 species
GGAUCAUUGUCGAAAUCGAACGGAAGAACGACCCGCGAAUCGUCAUUGCGUAGUAGACAGAGCCCGUGAGCACCUAACGCUCACGGGUCUCGCGUCGCGUCGGCGCGGGUGUACUCGAGACCCGCGUCGUACCGGCGGACAAACAACGUCAGCACGGAUCGUGCCAAGGAGCUGCAUGGAGAGAAUCGUCGUCCCACGCCUUUGAUAGUCCUCGACGCGGGACGGGGGACGUACGCAAUCUCUACUCAAAAGUCUAAACGACUCUCGGCAACGGAUAUCUCGGCUCUUGCAUCGAUGAAGAACGUAGCGAAAUGCGAUACUUGGUGUGAAUUGCAGAAUCCCGUGAACCAUCAAUUCUUUGAACGCAAGUUGCGCCCGAAGCCAUUCGGCCGAGGGCACGCCUGCCUGGGCGUCGUGAAUCCCCUUGCCCCUAGGCACCCGCAUGAGCAUUGGCGGGGACAUAUGCUCGGGCGCAGAAUAUGGUCUCCCGUGGGAUCGGCAUGCACGGCAUGUCGAGGUGCGGUUGGCCGAAAAUCGAGCAUGGCGGUGACGGGCACCACGGCGUUCGGUGGAUCGAAUGAGAUUGGCUGCGUCGUGGGCUCGGCAUGCGGCGGGCUCCGGACUUUGAAUAUCCCCGAGUGCGAUCCCAGGUCAGGCGGGGCUACCCGCUGAGUUUAAGCAUAUCAAUAAGCGGAGGAAAAGAAACUAACGAGGAUUCCCUUAGUAGCGGC